UCGAACGAAGUAGCAAUACUUAGUGGCAGACGGGUGAGUAACAUGUAGGUAUCUUCCCUAUGGUGAGGAAUAACACGAGGAAACUUGUGCUAAUACCUCAUAAGUCUUUACGGAGAAAGCUUUGUGCGCCAUUGGAUGAGCCUGCACUUGAUUAGCUUGUUGGUGGGGUAAUGGCCUACCAAGACUAUGAUCAAUAGCUGAUUUGAGAGGAUGAUCAGCCACAUUGGGACUGAGACACGGCCCAAACUCCUACGGGAGGCAGCAGUAGGGAAUCUUGCACAAUGGGGGAAACCCUGAUGCAGCGAUGCCGCGUGAGUGAAGAAGGCCUUUGGGUUGUAAAGCUCUUUCGUCGGGGAAGAAAAUGACUGUACCCGAAUAAGAAGGUCCGGCUAACUUCGUGCCAGCAGCCGCGGUAAUACGAAGGGACCUAGCGUAGUUCGGAAUUACUGGGCUUAAAGAGUUCGUAGGUGGUUAAAAAAGUUGGUGGUGAAAUCCCAGAGCUUAACUCUGGAACUGCCAUCAAAACUUUUUAGCUAGAGUAUGAUAGAGGAAAGCAGGAUUUCUAGUGUAGAGGUGAAAUUCGUAGAUAUUAGAAAGAAUACCAAUUGCGAAGGCAGCUUUCUGGAUCAUUACUGACACUGAGGAACGAAAGCAUGGGUAGCGAAGAGGAUUAGAUGCCCUCGUAGUCCAUGCCGUAAACGAUGUGUGUUAGACGUUGGAAAUUUAUUUUCAGUGUCGCAGCGAAAGCAAUAAACACACCGCCUGGGGAGUACGACCGCAAGGUUAAAACUCAAAUGAAUUGACGGGGACCCGCACAAGUAGUGGAGCAUGUGGUUUAAUUCGAAGAUACGCGCAGAACCUUACCAACACUUGACAUGUUCGUCGCGACUUUAAGAGAUUAAAGUUUUCGGUUCGGCCGGACGAAACACAGGUGCUGCAUGGCUGUCGUCAGCUC
rnacentral:rRNA from 1 species